CUAAGCUCAGUUUACCCAUAAAUGUGUAGUUCAUUUACCCAUAUUUGAGUUUUGCAUGCAAAACCUAUUUUAUGGGUAAAUUAUACCGAUAAAUAUAGGUAAUGUUUACUUAUAUUGUGAUCAAAGUAACUUUACCCAUAUAUGGGUAAAUUAUAUUUACCCAUAUUUGGAUGAAAAAAUAAAAAUGAUUGAGCGGCAAAACUCGCAAGUGCUACGUAUUUUUUGCGAAGAAAGUUUUUAAGAUUUAAAGUUGAAGUUUUAUUGUUUAAUCCUUGUUUAAUCGCGGUUCAGUGGAUAGCCCAACUGUUGUACAGGCCAAGGAGCUUGGAAGCUGUCGCCAACAUUCCGGUGAACACCAGCCAAAGUGAAAGAGGUCCAAAUCGGCCCUUGUGGACGCGCUCGGAAUGGUCUCGCGGAACAACGAUUUGUCUUGGAGUUAUUAGGUCCGUCGAGACAACUAUCGGUGUCCCCGUCAUGUUAAAUUGCCCGGUCCAACGGAAAACCCCUUCAGAACUGAAACAUCACCGUCUACCCCAACGAGAACUACACUGGAAACGUCCGGGUCCGGCAGAAUAAGCUCCCGGUAAGGCUCCCGGAUUAAAACUCUCAAUGAUAGCCUGGUAACUUGGUCAAGGAAGUGAGAAUUAAACACACCUCCAGAAAAGGGAGAAGUCCAGCUAUACCGUUCUUUUUCUUCCACUUUUUCAGCUGUCGGCAACUUUUCGGUGUACUCCUAUCGAAUUGAAGAUCGGUCCUUCUGGACGGGCUGAGAAUGGUCUGAUGGAACCGUCUUGCUGGAAUCGCCCGGUCCGGCGGAAAAUCCCUACCGGAAUUAAAACGUCAUCGUCUACCCCAGAUGAGGUUUUAGAGAAGAUGGGCGCCGUAGAAUUGUUCCCCAUAUCGUAAACCAGAGAAGAACACGGAAAUAAGAAGGGCUUACCACGUGAUUAGAUAUAGUAACUUAUUUAAUAAAAGAUAAAACGCA